rnacentral:rRNA from 1 species
CAUUUGAAACUGGCAAGCUAGAGUCUGUAGAGGGGGGUAGAAUUCCAGGUGUAGCGGUGAAAUGCGUAGAGAUCUGGAGGAAUACCGGUGGCGAAGGCGGCCCCCUGGACAAAGACUGACGCUCAGGUACGAAAGCGUGGGGAGCAAACAGGAUUAGAUACCCUGGUAGUCCACGCUGUAAACGAUGUCGACUUGGAGGUUGUGCCCUUGAGGCGUGGCUUCCGGAGCUAACGCGUUAAGUCGACCGCCUGGGGAGUACGGCCGCAAGGUUAAAACUCAAAUGAAUUGACGGGGGCCCGCACAAGCGGUGGAGCAUGUGGUUUAAUUCGAUGCAACGCGAAGAACCUUACCUACUCUUGACAUCCAGAGAAUUCGCUAGAGAUAGCUUAGUGCCUUCGGGAACUCUGAGACAGGUGCUGCAUGGCUGUCGUCAGCUCGUGUUGUGAAAUGUUGGGUUAAGUCCCGCAACGAGCGCAACCCUUAUCCUUUGUUGCCAGCACGUAAUGGUGGGAACUCAAAGGAGACUGCCGGUGAUAAACCGGAGGAAGGUGGGGAUGACGUCGAGUCAUCAUGGCCCUUACGAGUAGGGCUACACACGUGCUACAAUGGCGUAUACAAAGAGAAGCGAACUCGCGAGAGCAAGCGGACCUCAUAAAGUACGUCGUAGUCCGGAUUGGAGUCUGCAACUCGACUCCAUGAAGUCGGAAUCGCUAGUAAUCGUAGAUCAGAAUGCUACGGUGAAUACGUUCCCGGGCCUUGUACACACCGCCCGUCACACCAUGGGAGUGGGUUGCAAAAGAAGUAGGUAGCUUAACCUUCGGGAGGGCGCUUACCACUUUGUGAUUCAUGACUGGGGUGAAGUCGUAACAAGGUAACCGUAAUCACUAGUGCGGCCGCCUGCAGGUCGACCAUAUGGGAGAGCUCCCAACGCGUUGGAUGCAUAGCUUGAGU